CCUACGGGGGACAGCAGUCGAGAAUCUUUCUCAAUGGGGGCAACUCUGAUCCUGCGAUGCCGCGUGCGGGAAUGCAGCUCUUUGGAUUGUAAACUGCUGUUAUGCGGGGGUAAACUCAGAUGCUUGUACCUCACUAGGAAGAGCCUGCGAACUCUGUUCGAGCAGCUGCGUUCAGACAGAGGAGUCAAGCGUUGUUCGGAAUCAGUGGGCUUAAUGUGUGCGUAGGCUGUUGUGUAAGUCGUGUGUGAAAGGUGCGGGCUCAACCCGCGAACGGCACAUGAUACUGCGAGGCUAGAGAGAAGGAGCGGGAGCCGGAAUGCACGGUGUAGCAGUGAAAUGCGUAGAGAUC
rnacentral:rRNA from 1 species